AAUCUUCAUCACCAUGACCCUCAUCAUCAUCUUCAUCUGGACUCUCACAGCGUUUGCUCAAGAGUGUGGAGGACAGAUCAGCGUCACUCAGAGUCCUUCAAUGACAACAGAACCAGACAAAACCGUCACAAUCACCUGCAGAACCAGCACAGAUGUACGAAGAUAUGAUGAUGGAGAUGAUGCUUUAUUCUGGUACUUACAGAAACCGGGAGAAGCUCCUAAACUUCUGGUUCGUUAUGCAAAAAGCCUGGAAUCAGGAACUCCGUCUAGAUUCAGUGGCAGUGGAUCUAACAGUGAUUUCACUCUGAGCAUCAGUGGAGUCCAGACUGAAGAUGCUGGACAUUAUUACUGUCAGAGUUUCCACUGCAGAACAGAUUCGUACAAUGACUGUGUGGGUGAUGUUGUGUUCACACAGUGA